UUUAAUGCUCUGCCUUUUGUGAUAAGUACUAAGAAGGUUUUAAUUUUUUCAAGUUCACUAGUACAAACUUUCUCCUUUUUUUAAAUUUUAUUUAUUUUUCUAGGUAUCUUCUGGAGCCAGAUGGGAAGACGAGUCCACUCAGGAGCUCAAACAGAACUCUGAAAGUAAGAAGAACUGAAAGCAGGAUGCCAGAGACACAUUUAUGGAAAGGGGUAAAGUGAGACCUUAACUGGGCAGAGAAUCAUGUGAACAGUGGAAAGAGAAAGAAAGUUUGGAGGAUGUCCUUGGGCAUGGCUUGCUUCACAGUGAACAUUUCCAGCCAUCCCAAAGUAAUAAUGCACCAACUUUGCACGGCAGGGAAAAAGCAACCAACAAAAUAUCCUCUGAAUGGCAUUGACCAACACAGG